UACGAAGGGGGCUAGCGUUGCUCGGAAUCACUGGGCGUAAAGCGCACGUAGGCGGCUUGCUAAGUCAGGGGUGAAAUCCUGGAGCUCAACUCCAGAACUGCCUUUGAUACUGGCGAUCUCGAGUCCGGGAGAGGUGAGUGGAACUGCGAGUGUAGAGGUGAAAUUCGUAGAUAUUCGCAAGAACACCAGUGGCGAAGGCGGUUCUCUGGGCCGUACCUGACGCUGAGGAGCGAAAGCGUGGGGAGCGAACAGG
rnacentral:rRNA from 1 species